rnacentral:rRNA from 1 species
UACGUAGGGUCCGAGCGUUGUCCGGAAUUAUUGGGCGUAAAGAGCUCGUAGGCGGUCCGUUAAGUCGGAAGUGAAAUCUCAAGGCUCAACCUUGAAAUCGCUUUCGAUACUGGCGGACUUGAGGCAGGUAGGGGAAGGUGGAAUUCCUGGUGUAGCGGUGAAAUGCGCAGAUAUCAGGAGGAACACCGGUGGCGAAGGCGGCUUCCUGGGCCGCGCCUGACGCUGAGACGCGGAAAGCGUGGGGAGCGAACGGG